rnacentral:rRNA from 1 species
AUGCAGUCGAGCGGCACCUUCGGGUGUAGCGGCGGACGGGUUAGUAACGCGUGGGAACGUGCCCUUCUCUACGGAAUAGCCUCGGGAAACUGAGAGUAAUACCGUAUACGCCCUUUGGGGGAAAGAUUUAUCGGAGAAGGAUCGGCCCGCGUCUGAUUAGAUAGUUGGUGGGGUAAUGGCCUACCAAGUCUACGAUCAGUAGCUGGUUUUAGAGGAUGAUCAGCAACACUGGGACUGAGACACGGCCCAGACUCCUACGGGAGGCAGCAGUGGGGAAUCUUAGACAAUGGGCGCAAGCCUGAUCUAGCCAUGCCGCGUGAGUGAUGAAGGCCUUAGGGUCGUAAAGCUCUUUCGCCAGAGAUGAUAAUGACAGUAUCUGGUAAAGAAACCCCGGCUAACUCCGUGCCAGCAGCCGCGGUAAUACGGAGGGGGUUAGCGUUGUUCGGAAUUACUGGGCGUAAAGCGCACGUAGGCGGAUCAGAAAGUUGGGGGUGAAAUCCCAGGGCUCAACCCUGGAACGGCCUCCAAAACUCCUGGUCUUGAGUUCGAGAGAGGUGAGUGGAAUUCCGAGUGUAGAGGUGAAAUUCGUAGAUAUUCGGAGGAACACCAGUGGCGAAGGCGGCUCACUGGCUCGAUACUGACGCUGAGGUGCGAAAGUGUGGGGAGCAAA